rnacentral:lncRNA from 1 species
CAAGAUGGAAGAUUAUUCAUAAUUGCAAUCAUAACAUACCAUACAAUACAGAGUUUCCUGCAAAGGAAACUUUGAUUUCAAAGACCUUAUGCAAGUUACAUGUAGUCGUGACUUUUUCUGCAAAAGGCUCCUGCCAGCCUUCAAACUCAACACAACCCAGAUCAGCUCAGGGAUGGAAGGGACUUGAUAGGCAUGAAAUAAAACUCGGACAAAGGAUUAGUGUGCAGCUUCAAUGGGAACAUUGUGCUCCUAGGUCCUUAUAAGGAAGGUUGCCCUGGGCUCGUCCUACACAGGUGAUACCAACAUCAUGGGUACCACCAAGAUUUUCCUGCUCCUCCUCUCAGUGGCCCUGGUGGCCCUGAGCUCAGCUCGAAGCACAGAUGAGGAAGCAUCUAGCCAGCAAGCGGUUGCAGAAGAAACAUCCUCCAGCCAGGACUCUCCUGCCCAAGAAACAUCCUCCAGCCAGGACUCUCCUGCCCAAGAAGGUAAAAGAUUGAUGUGUAUGGGGUGUUCAAAGAGGACUAGCACCUUUGGUGUCCUUUGCAGGGCUGCUCAUCUACUUUUGGUGUCUACCUAACACUCAACUCUCUCCUGUGGCUCCAAGAACCUGUAGUUUAUGUAAUGGCCACACCUCAGUAAAGCCAUCUCA